rfam:Gossypium raimondii Chr12_contig_633, whole genome shotgun sequence.
AAUCCGUGGUGCAGGCAUUUUUGAAUCAAUAUUUUGAAACGCUCUCAUGCCUCAUAGAAACUUUCUCCUUCCAUCUGUCUAAAGAUAGUAGCCUCUCUUCUUAGUUG